UCGAACGAACUCUGGUAUUGAUUGGUGCUUGCAUCAUGAUUUACAUUUGAGUGAGUGGCGAACUGGUGAGUAACACGUGGGAAACCUGCCCAGAAGCGGGGGAUAACACCUGGAAACAGAUGCUAAUACCGCAUAACAACUUGGACCGCAUGGUCCGAGUUUGAAAGAUGGCUUCGGCUAUCACUUUUGGAUGGUCCCGCGGCGUAUUAGCUAGAUGGUGAGGUAACGGCUCACCAUGGCAAUGAUACGUAGCCGACCUGAGAGGGUAAUCGGCCACAUUGGGACUGAGACACGGCCCAAACUCCUACGGGAGGCAGCAGUAGGGAAUCUUCCACAAUGGACGAAAGUCUGAUGGAGCAACGCCGCGUGAGUGAAGAAGGGUUUCGGCUCGUAAAACUCUGUUGUUAAAGAAGAACAUAUCUGAGAGUAACUGUUCAGGUAUUGACGGUAUUUAACCAGAAAGCCACGGCUAACUACGUGCCAGCAGCCGCGGUAAUACGUAGGUGGCAAGCGUUGUCCGGAUUUAUUGGGCGUAAAGCGAGCGCAGGCGGUUUUUUAAGUCUGAUGUGAAAGCCUUCGGCUCAACCGAAGAAGUGCAUCGGAAACUGGGAAACUUGAGUGCAGAAGAGGACAGUGG
rnacentral:rRNA from 2 species